rfam:Ricinus communis ctg_1100012292646, whole genome shotgun sequence.
UAUAUGCCUGUGAUGGUGUUAAAUAUACUAUGAGAUUUAAAUUUUCUAUGAAAACAAAUUCAUCUGAGGCACUUA